CACCGCGGUUAUACGAGAGGCUCAAGUUGAUUGAUAUCGGCGUAAAGCGUGGUUAAGAUUUAAAAACAAACUAAAGCCGAACACCUUCAAAGCUGUUAUACGCACCCGAAGGCAAGAAGUUCAACCACGAAAGUGGCUUUAUAACCCCUGAACCCACGAAAGCUAAGAUA
rnacentral:rRNA from 1 species